CCAGAUGGUCGGAUGGUUGCCUUUGUUGCAGCGGUGUAACGACAGGAGGAAAGUCCGGGCUCCACGGGGAUACGGUGCCGGGUAAUGCCCGGCGGGGGCGACCCUAGGGAAAGUGCCACAGAAAACAAACCGCCGUAACGGCUAAACGGCCAACGGCAAGGGUGAAAAGGUGCGGUAAGAGCGCACCGCUCUUUCGGUAACGAAAGAGGCAUGGUAAACCCCACCGGGAGCAAAACCAAAUAGGGAUGGCACUCUGGUCCUCCAGAAAGCGUGUUCCCGCGCUGUCGUCCGGGUAGGUUGCUAGAGGUAUUCGGUAACGAAUAUCGUAAGAUGAAUAACCAUCCAUCCUUUUUGGAUGACAGAACCCGGCUUAUAGACUAUCUGGCAUC
rnacentral:RNase_P_RNA from 1 species